rnacentral:lncRNA from 1 species
CAGGUAUUUAUCAAGUGACAACUAUAUUCCAGCACUGUAACAAGGCAGGCUUUGCCUCCUAUAGAUGCUCACUGUCUAGAGAGGGGGACUAUGUAGCAAUGUGAAAUGAUGUAGAUAUCAUCAUAGAGGUACAUGCAAUACAUUAUGAGAGUUCAGAGGGGAAGCACAAGGCAAAGACAGGUGACAUAAUUUAGAAAAAGUUACUUGUAAUGAAAUGUGACUUGAGCUAAAAAAUAGAUCAGAGUGAGCACUAUGGUUAGGCUCUUGGGGUUUCUAGGAUCAGAGACUCACUCAAGCCAGCUAAAGUAAUGGAGUUAUUGUAUAAAUACCUACUCAAGAUAGAAUCUCAUGGAAACCCAUUAAUGGGAGCCAUGGAGACUGGAACUCAAUGGCCAUUUUGAAUCCAAGGCGGCUCUAGAAUCCUCAGCAGCAGGGGUUCACGGCUCAUCGCUCUGCUGCUUAGUCAGCAGCAUGACUCAACAUCUCUCCAUGUGUCCGCUUCUCUCUGUCUAAUUACCAGUAAAGAGAAAUCUCUUCAUUUUCUACUCUAUCAUUUCUCUAUGUUAUAGCUGCUACUCAUCUAUAAUUUUUUCCUCCUCAUCAUUUUGACCUUCUCAUAACUUGUUACACCUUUUUUGCCCCUUCUGUACCCAACGGUCUCUCUCUCUCUUUCCGCACAAAUUUUCAACUUCAGUUCCUACUAUCCAUUGCUUUGUUCUUUUUGUAUUUCCUAAUUCAAAUUCUCAACAGUGAGAAUUUGAUUGCCCCAGCUCAUCCCUGUUUGGUUAGAGCUUUUACGCCAAAUCACCUUGUAAAACUGCAGGUGAGCCUAAGGAUUGGCUGCCUCCAGGUUGGCGCUUGCCUUUGCGCUAAUUAUCCCUAGCUCAGGAGAGCAGAAUCAUGUGUCCAAAACAUGGCUGCCUAAGUAGGCUUUACCAGUGGAGGAGAUGGAAAGGACAGUUUUCCUCAGAGGAAGUUACGGGCUUCCCUCUCAUCAUAAUUAUCUGGCGCAGAUGGCUAUAGUCAGUAUGUGGCUGAAGACCGAUCUCUCUUGUUCAAGUGGCUCCUGUGUACCCUUUGAAUUACCUUUGCACUCAGUGACAGUUUUAAGAGCUUGGCCACUUUCCACAUGUCUGAAAGCAACUCUACGUUACAUGUGAGAAAGAUGUGGCUGACUUUAAACUUUGGCUGGCAUGAGGAGAGGAGUGGAGAAGGCAGCAGAGAUUGUUCCUGUACGGCUAACACUAGGAAGAGUUCUUUUGGAUUUUAUAGUCAUGGAAAUUAAAAGGUAUGAUCCAGAACCAUAUUCUCCUUUUAAUUGUUUUUUGCAGAAUGUUCUCCUCUCCUCCUUCCCCCAUCCCAUGUGGUCUCUAGAGGUCAUUCUGACAGAAAGGAUGUGAAAGGAAGAAGGGGCUGUCCUACUUUUUGCGUUUGAGAAUUUGAGUACAUUUCCGGUACUAAUAUUAUGGGGAAAUUGUGAUUUGUUUUGUUAUAUAAAUGAAAAUCAUGGUUUUCCUUUUUCUUUUUUACUUUCAAAGCAGCCACCUCUUUCUGGACAUUUGUUUUCCUCCUUAAGUCACUGCUGAGGUAUUUGCAAACCAAGCCAACACUUACAUUUUAUUCACCAAAGUAGAACAAAGCAUCUGCUAAUAGAAACAGCCUGGUAAAUAGUGGGAAAAGCACGGAAGUCAGAGGACUUGUGUUUAAAGCUUGGUUUAUUACUUACCCUAAUCUGCCAUUGACAAAUCUUUCAACCUUUCUGAGUCACUCUAUUCUCAUCUGCAAAAUGGGGUUAAUGGAGGAUUUCAUCUGCAAAGUGGAGAUAACACAGAUUAAACGAGAUGACAUGGGUACAUUAUGCCCAAAAUAAACAUGAGUUGAAUCUUAACA